rnacentral:rRNA from 1 species
GACGUAGGAGGCGAGCGUUGUCCGGAUUCAUUGGGCGUAAAGAGCACGCAGGCGGUUUGGCAAGUCGGAUGUGAAAACCCGGAGCUCAACUCCGGACCUGCAUCCGAAACUGCCCGACUAGAGGUAGGUAGGGGAGAUCGGAAUUCCUGGUGUAGCGGUGAAAUGCGCAGAUAUCAGGAGGAACACCGGUGGCGAAGGCGGGUCUCUGGGCCGAUACUGACGCUGAUGCGCGAAAGCGUGGGGAGCGAACAGG